UACGUAGGGUGCGAGCGUUAAUCGGAAUUACUGGGCGUAAAGCGUGCGCAGGCGGUUUUGUAAGCCAGAUGUGAAAUCCCCGGGCUCAACCUGGGAAUGGCAUUUGGGACUGCAAGGCUCGAGUGCUGCAGAGGAGACUGGAAUUCCUGGUGUAGCAGUGAAAUGCGUAGAUAUCAGGAGGAAUACCGAUGGCGAAGGCAGGUCUCUGGGCUGACACUGACGCUCAGGCACGAAAGCGUGGGGAGCAAACAGG
rnacentral:rRNA from 1 species